UACGGGGGGGGCAAGCGUUGUUCGGAAUUACUGGGCGUAAAGGGCUCGUAGGCGGCCAACUAAGUCAGAUGUGAAAUCCCCAGGCUUAACCUGGGAACUGCAUCUGAUACUGGAUGGCUUGAAUCCGGGAGAGGGAUGCGGAAUUCCAGGUGUAGCGGUGAAAUGCGUAGAUAUCUGGAGGAAUACCGGUGGCGAAGGCAGCCCCCUGGGUCAAGAUUGACGCUCAUGCACGAAAGCGUGGGGAGCAAACAGG
rnacentral:rRNA from 1 species